GAAUAUUGCGCAAUGGGCGAAAGCCUGACGCAGCGACGCCGCGUGGGUGAUGAAGGUCUUCGGAUCGUAAAGCCCUUUUCUGCGUGACGAUGAUGACGGUAGCGCAGGAAAAAGUGUCGGCUAACUACGUGCCAGCAGCCGCGGUAACACGUAGGACGCAAACGUUAUCCGGAAUUACUGGGCGGAAAGGGCGCGCAGGCGGCGCGGUAAGUGAGGCAUGAAAGCUCCCUGGCUAAACCGGGAGAGGAUGUCUGAGACUGCCGUGCUGGAGUGAGGUAGAGGGAUGUGGAAUUCCGCGUGUAGUGGUGAAAUGCGUAGAGAUGCGGAGGAACACCAGUGGCGAAGGCGGCAUCCUGGACCUCAACUGACGCUGAGGCGCGAAAGCAUGGGUAGCGAACGGG
rnacentral:rRNA from 1 species